AGUGAACGCUGGCGGUAGGCCUAACACAUGCAAGUCGAACGGCAGCACAGUAAGAGCUUGCUCUUACGGGUGGCGAGUGGCGGACGGGUGAGGAAUACAUCGGAAUCUACUUUUUCGUGGGGGAUAACGUAGGGAAACUUACGCUAAUACCGCAUACGACCUACGGGUGAAAGCAGGGGAUCUUCGGACCUUGCGCGAUUGAAUGAGCCGAUGUCGGAUUAGCUAGUUGGCGGGGUAAAGGCCCACCAAGGCGACGAUCCGUAGCUGGUCUGAGAGGAUGAUCAGCCACACUGUAACUGAGCCACGGUCCAGACUCCUACGGGAGGCAGCAGUGGGGAAUAUUCGACAAUGGGCGCAAGCCUGAUCCAGCCAUACCGCGUGGGUGAAGAAGGCCUUCGGGUUGUAAAGCCCUUUUGUUAGGAAAGAAAAGCAGCAGGUUAAUACCCCGCUGUUCUGACGGUACCCAAAGAAUAAGCACCGGCUAACUUCGUG
rnacentral:rRNA from 1 species